rnacentral:lncRNA from 1 species
UUUUUUUCUUAAUUUUAAUCAUGCAUACUUCUAAAAAUCACUAAUCAAAACAUUAUUUUGGUCAAAUAAAGGCUAUCACACAAGAGCUAAAUCUAAUAACCUAUAUAAGUACAUAAAUCAUAGUUAUCAAACACCUUGAAAUAGGGCUUGGGCAAAACCAAUUCAAACCGAUACCCAACCCAAAUCGGUCAGUUUUGGUUGAUUUUUAAGUUCAAUUGGGUUGAGGUUUUGUUAGAAAAUCAAAUUUGAGGUCAUGUUGGGUUGAAUAUCGGGUUAUGAAUUAAAAUUCAAUCCAACUCAACUUUAUCCGACGAAUUAAAAAAAUUAAUAUUUAAAAUAGAAAGAUCUAAAUAGACACAAUAGUGAAGAUAUGAGAGGGACUUACACACUAGAUUUUAAUCUAAUACAAAGUUAACAAUUCAUUUCAAUCACAUAUUUUAUGGAUCUCACAAAUUUUCAAUAUUAUAUUUCAUCAACUUCUAUCAAAAUCUAGUAAAAAAUUGAUUUUAAUCCCCGUCCAACAAGGGCUUAAAAUGUGCAAAC